rnacentral:rRNA from 1 species
GAGUUUGAUCCUGGCUCAGAACGAACGCUGGCGGCGUGGAUAAGACAUGCAAGUCGAACGCUGGCUUGUCGGUAGCAAUAUUGGCAAGUUGGAGUGGCGCAAGGGUGCUUAACACGUGGGCAAUCUGCCGUGAAGCCUGGAAUAACUCGCUGAAAGGCGAGCUAAUGCCGGAUGUGAAAGUCGGGAGGCAUCUCCCGGUUUUCAAAGCUGGGGACCGCAAGGCCUGGCACUUCACGAUGAGCCCGCGGCCUAUCAGCUAGUUGGUGAGGUAACGGCCCACCAAGGCUAAGACGGGUAGCUGGUCUGAGGGGACGACCAGCCACACUGGAACUGAGACACGGUCCAGACACCUACGGGUGGCAGCAGUCGAGAAUUUUUCUCAAUGGGCGAAAGCCUGAAGGAGCGACGCCGCGUGGGGGAUGAAUGGCUUCGGCCCGUAAACCCCUGUCAUUUGCGAACAAAUUGGUUCAAUUAACACCUGAACCAUUGAUAGUAGCGGAAGAGGAAGGGACGGCUAACUCUGUGCCAGCAGCCGCGGUAAUACAGAGGUCCCAAGCGUUGUUCGGAUUCACUGGGCGUAAAGGGUGCGUAGGCGGUCGGGUAAGUCUGAUGUGAAAUCCCGCAGCUUAACUGCGGAACGGCAUUGGACACUAUUCGGCUGGAGGAAUGGAGGGGAGACUGGAAUUCUCGGUGUAGCAGUGAAAUGCGUAGAUAUCGAGAGGAACACCAGUGGCGAAGGCGAGUCUCUGG